CUUCAUUGAUGCAUCAAGCCUCCUCGAACUAACAAGCCAUGGUUAGAACUUCUUGUUCCCCAGCCUGCUCACCCUCUUUGGCAACUCAGCAGUGAGAGGCACCACCUUCCACUCAGCUGUCCUGGUUAGACCCUGUCGUAGUUCUGAGACUUCUUGCCUCUUCCUACUGCAGACCGUCUGUCACAGCAACUGUGCAAGACCAGAGCAGCAUCCCUCAUGUAGGUGGGGCAGCAGAGGGUUCCACAAGAUCUGGGUUCAACCAAGAGUUUAACAGCCUUUCUGCAGGGAGUGGGGCUGGAGGUGAUUUUCUGAACCAGAGUCUAUCAAAGUCUAUCAAAGCUAAAGAACCUCGUGUUCUCAUAUUCUUGCAAUUAAAUGGGCCCUUGACUGAUAAUGGCUAAUGGACUCUGAGUGGAAGUGAUGUAUGUCAUUUUUGGCCCAAGUGUUUAAAAGUGAAGGUGUUAUAAGAAGGUGAAAGAAAAUCCAUACUUCUACUGCCUGCCCCGCAAGUGCAAGGACCUGAGUUCAAUCCUUGGUACCAAAAAAAAAAAAAA
rnacentral:lncRNA from 1 species